UGCCAGCCGCCGCGGUAACACGGGGGGCGCAAGCGUUAUUCGGAAUUACUGGGCGUAAAGCGCGCGUAGGCGGCUUGGUAAGUCAGAUGUGAAAUCCCUCGGCUCAACCGAGGAACUGCAUUUGAAACUGUCAGGCUUGAGUACGGGAGGGGGAAGCGGAAUUCCCAGUGUAGAGGUGAAAUUCGUAGAUAUUGGGAGGAACACCAGCGGCGAAGGCGACUACCUGGCUCGGUACUGACGCUGAGAUGCGAAAGCGUGGGGAGCAAACAGGAUUAGAUA
rnacentral:rRNA from 1 species